UACGUAGGUGACCAGCGUUGUCCGGAUUUACUGGGCGUAAAGAGCGCGCAGGCGGUCGUUCAAGUCGAGUGUGAAAGCCCCCGGCUCAACUGGGGAGGGUCACUCGAUACUGAUCGACUUGAAGGCAGGAGAGGGAAGCGGAAUUCCCGGUGUAGUGGUGAAAUGCGUAGAUAUCGGGAGGAACAUCAGUGGCGAAGGCG
rnacentral:rRNA from 1 species